CUUCAUAGAGAGGAGUCCCAGUCUCUUGUAUCUGCCCUUGUGGCACACCUUUCCCCAUGAAUGUGAGCUAAUGUGCAGUUCAGUAGAAGACUUCAUGAGCUAGAAGCUGGAUUUAAAAACGUGAAAACAGAGGAUGUCUUCUAAUGAGAGAAAAGAAAUCAUUCAAGGUGCUUUCUCCAUGCCUGAGCCAUUUUUUGCAAAGGGAUAUUGGACAUCUCACUUAAGG